AUUGAAUGUUGUCAUCCUCAGUUUUACAAGUUGAAGGUUAUACGAAGUAGGCAUUUUAAAGAUAAUGGAAGUGAAAAGAACGAUAAAAAUCGUGAUGUAUCUGGCUUUAGUCAUUGCAUUUGUACAAAGUAAAAAAGAAAAACGUCUGUCAUGGCGUGAUGGUCUCUGGGGGCGAGAGCUGAAACUAGAAAACGCCAGAAAAAAUUAUAUGGCAGACGUUUUAGAUAUGCUUGACGAGAAAGAAUUUAAUAGCCACAGCGAGAGUGGGCGGGUUGCAUCUAAAGGAGCCACAGUAGAUCAAGUUAACCUUAGCAGUGAAAGCAUGCGCCUGCCAGUAUCUCAAGAAAUUGGGCAAAUUGAAUUUGCACAUUAUCCUAAAAAAACAGAAUCUAAACAUUAAAAGUUUAAGGAAAUUAAUUUUUAAAAUAAUUUUUGAGCGACUAUUAUAAAAACAAUAAGCAACACUACUUAGUAUUUUAUGUUUUUGGUGUAAUUACAUAAACAAGAUAAAAAUGCGUGUAGCAGAUAAGUACUUAAUUGUAGAGAUAAUUACUUUAGUUAUUAUAAAUACUAUUAAAGUGAAAAUGAUCGAUCAUAUA